AUUGAACGCUGGCGGCAGGCUUAACACAUGCAAGUCGAGCGAGCGGCGGACGGGUGAGGAAUGUCUGGGAAACGGCAUGAUGGAGGGGGAUGACUGAUGGAAACGGUAGCUAAUACCGAAUACCAUCAUUUGUGCCCAGAUGGGAUUAGCUAGUAGGUGGGGUAAGGGCUAACCUAGGCGACGAUCCCUAGCUGGUCUGAGAGGAUGACCGGCCACACUGGAACUGAGACACGGUCCAGACUCCUACGGGAGGCAGCAGUGGGGAAUAUUGCACAAUGGGCGAAAGCUGGAUGCAGCAAUGCCGCGUGGGGGAAGAAGGCCUUCGGGUUGUAAAGCACUUUCAGCGAGGAGGCGUUACUCGCAGAAGAAGCAACGGCUAACUCCGUGCCAGCAGCCGCGGUAAUAC
rnacentral:rRNA from 1 species